rnacentral:rRNA from 1 species
UUUUUGAUUAAUAAUUUAAAGUCUAAUCUGCCCACUGAUAAAAUAUUAAAGGGCUGCAGUAUUUUGACUGUACAAAGGUAGCAUAAUCAAUAGUCUCUUAAUUGGUGACUUGUAUGAAAGAUUUAAUGAGAUAUAUACUGUCUCUUUUUAAUUUAUAAAAUUUAAUUUUUUAGUUAAAAGGCUAAAAUAUAUUUAAAAGACGAGAAGACCCUAUAGAGUUUAAUAUUUAAUUAAAUUGAAAUUAUUUGUAAAAUUUAAAAUUUUAAUUAUAAUUAAUUAUUUUGUUGGGGUGAUAAAAAAAUUAAAGAAACUUUUUUUUUAAAUUUACAUUAAUAAAUGAGUAAAUGAUCCGUAAUUUACGAUUAAAAGAAAAAAUUACCUUAGGGAUAACAGCGUAAUUUUUUUUUUUAGUUCAAAUAAGAAAAAAAGUUUGCGACCUCGAUGUUGGAUUAAGAUAAAAUUUAAAUGCAAAAGUUUAAAAUUUUUGAUCUGUUCGAUCAUUAAAAUCUUACA